AGACGUUCCCCAGGAAUCUCUUCCCUAUGGGAAAAAGCAAAACCUGAGCUGAUCCAGCAAUUCCAGAGUGACAACGGCAGCAUAUGAAGCCCAUGCAAAAGCUCUGUGAUGAAUGGUUUGGAAGUGGUCUUCAUUGCCUAGAGACAAAAAUGGUGAAAAUGUGUUAGAGAUCACCUUCAGCUCUGCACAGGAUUUCUGCAAAAUACAACAGUACCAUUCUAUUUUUUUCCACAGGUAAGCCCUGCUAUCUUCCAUUCUCCCAUUCAAUCUUCUUCCCUAUAAUUGCUGCGGAAGGGGAAGAGGUGUGAGUGUAGGUGAUCCUGGACUGGGUGAAGGC
rnacentral:lncRNA from 1 species